rnacentral:rRNA from 1 species
CAAUGCGGGAGGAAGACAACAGGGAUUGCCCCAGUAACGGCGAGUGAAGCGGCAACAGCUCAAAUUUGAAAUCUGGCCCUCGGGUCCGAGUUGUAAUUUGCAGAGGAUGCUUCGGGCGAGGUGCCUUCCGAGUUCCCUGGAACGGGACGCCAUAGAGGGUGAGAGCCCCGUCUGGUCGGACACCGAGCCCGUGUGAAGCUCCUUCGAAGAGUCGAGUAGUUUGGGAAUGCUGCUCAAAAUGGGAGGUAUAUGUCUUCUAAAGCUAAAUAUUGGCCAGAGACCGAUAGCGCACAAGUAGAGUGAUCGAAAGAUGAAAAGCACUUUGAAAAGAGGGUUAAAAAGUACGUGAAAUUGUUGAAAGGGAAGCGCCCAUGACCAGACUUGGGCCCGGUGAAUCAUCCGGCGUUCUCGCCGGUGCACUUUGCCGGGCACAGGCCAGCAUCAGUCUGGCGCGGGGGAUAAAGGCUUCGGGAAUGUGGCUCCCUCGGGAGUGUUAUAGCCCGUUGCGCAAUACCCUGCGCCGGACUGAGGUACGCGCAUCGCAAGGAUGCUGGCGUAAUGGUCAUCAGCGACCCGUCUUGAAACACGGACCAAGGAGUCGUCUUCGUAUGCGAGUGUUCGGGUGUCAAACCCCUACGCGGAAUGAAAGUGAACGCAGGUGAGAGCUUCGGCGCAUCAUCGACCGAUCCUGAUGUUCUCGGAUGGAUUUGAGUAAGAGCAUACGGGGCCGGACCCGAAAGAAGGUGAACUAUGCCUGUAUAGGGUGAAGCCAGAGGAAACUCUGGUGGAAGCUCGCAGCGGUUCUGACGUGCGAAUCGAUCGUCAAAUAUGGGCAUGGGGGCGAAAGACUAAUCGAACCUUCUAGUAGCUGGUUUCCGCCGAAGUUCCCUCAGGAUA